GCCAGCAUGGCAUAGUGGUUUGAGUGUUGGACUAUAACUCUGGAGACCAAGGUUCAAACCCCAGCACAGCCA
rnacentral:tRNA from 1 species